CAUUCACGGAGAGUUUGAUCCUGGCUCAGGACGAACGCUGGCGGCGUGCUUAACACAUGCAAGUCGAAC
rnacentral:rRNA from 2 species